rnacentral:rRNA from 1 species
GAUGAACGCUGGCGGCGUGCCUAAUACAUGCAAGUCGAGCGAACAGACGAGGAGCUUGCUCCUCUGACGUUAGCGGCGGACGGGUGAGUAACACGUGGAUAACCUACCUAUAAGACUGGGAUAACUUCGGGAAACCGGAGCUAAUACCGGAUAAUAUAUUGAACCGCAUGGGUCAAUAGUGAAAGACGGUUUUGCUGUCACUUAUAGAUGGAUCCGCGCAGCAUUAGCUAGUUGGUAAGGUAACGGCUUACCAAGGCGACGAUGCGUAGCCGACCUGAGAGGGUGAUCGGCCACACUGGAUCUGAGACACGGUCCAGACUCCUACGGGAGGCAGCAGUAGGGAAUCUUCCGCAAUGGGCGAAAGCCUGACGGAGCAACGCCGCGUGAGUGAUGAAGGUCUUCGGAUCGUAAAACUCUGUUAUUAGGGAAGAACAAAUGUGUAAGUAACUAUGCACGUCUUGACGGUACCUAAUCAGAAAGCCACGGCUAACUACGUG